rnacentral:tRNA from 1 species
GAGGCUGUGGGGUAAUUUGGUUAGCCUUCCAGGUUUGGGACCUGGGGAUCACGGUUCAAAUCCGUGCAGCCUCA